rnacentral:rRNA from 1 species
CCGAGAGCGGCGCACGGGUGCGUAACGCGUAUGCAACCUGCCCUGCACAGGGGAAUAGCCCGUCGAAAGGCGGAUUAAUGCCCCAUGGUACCCGGCCUGGGCAUCCAGGCGGGGUUAAAGAUUCAUCGGUGCAGGAUGGGCAUGCGUGCCAUUAGCUGGAUGGUGGGGUAACAGCCCACCAUGGCGACGAUGGCUAGGGGUUCUGAGAGGAAGGCCCCCCACACUGGGACUGAGACACGGCCCAGACUCCUACGGGAGGCAGCAGUGAGGAAUAUUGGUCAAUGGGCGGAAGCCUGAACCAGCCAUGCCGCGUGCGGGAAGAAGGCGCUACGCGUCGUAAACCGCUUUUGUCCGGGGGUAACCGCGGGGACGUGUCCCCGCCUGCAAGUACCGGACGAAUAAGGGUCGGCUAACUCCGUGCCAGCAGCCGCGGUAAUACGGAGGACCCGAGCGUUAUCCGGAUUCAUUGGGUUUAAAGGGUGCGCAGGCGGCCCGGUCAGUCAGCGGUGAAAGGCCCGCGCUUCACGCGGGAGCUGCCGUUGAUACUGCCGGGCUAGAAUCUUGGCGAGGCGGGCGGAAUGCGCGGUGUAGCGGUGAAAUGCAUAGAUAUCGCGCAGAACGCCGAUUGGGGAGCCAGCUCGCCAGCCAGGUAUUGACGCUGAGGCACGAAAGCGUGGGGAUCGAACAGGAUUAGAUACCCUGGUAGUCCACGCCGUAAACGAUGAUGGCUCGCUCUUGGUUCGCAAGGAUCAGGGGCUUAGCGAAAGCGUUAAGCCAUCCACCUGGGGAGUACGCCGGCAACGGUGAAACUCAAAGGAAUUGACGGGGGCCCGCACAAGCGGAGGAACAUGUGGUUUAAUUCGAUGAUACGCGAGGAACCUUACCCAGGCUCGAACGCCGGACGCAUACGGGGGAAACUUCGUAGCCAGCAAUGGCGGCCGGCGAGGUGCUGCAUGGUUGUCGUCAGCUCGUGCCGUGAGGUGUCGGCUUAAGUGCCAUA